rnacentral:lncRNA from 1 species
UCCGUGUCCAACCUGACGAAGCUAUUUAUUUGAAGAUAAACAACAAGGUUCCUGGUCUAGGAAUGAGACUGGAUCGAAGCAAGCUUAACCUUCAUUAUGCUGCCAAGUGAUUAUAUUUAUUUAAUUUUGAAUUUUUGCAAUAUAAAAUUAUAAAUAUUUAUGGAUUCGGGAUUGAUACAAAUGUAAUUCUAUGAUUAGGUAUUCGAAAGAGAUACCAGAUGCAUAUGAAAGGCUUCUUCUGGACGCAAUUGAAGGAGAAAGACGGCUUUUCAUCCGCUCUGAUGAAUUAGAUGCAGCUUGGAAACUCUUCACCCC